CUACGGGAGGCACCAGUCGAGAAUCUUCCGCAAUGGACGAAAGUCUGACGGAGCGACGCCGCGUGCGGGAUGAAGGCCUUCGGGUUGUAAACCGCUGUCAGUGGGGAGGAAAUGCAUCAGGGUUCUCCCUGGUGUUUGACCGAUCCGCAGAGGAAGCGCAGGCUAAGUUCGUGCCAGCAGCCGCGGUAACACGAACUGCGCGAACGUUAUUCGGAAUCACUGGGCUUAAAGAGUUCGUAGGCGGCCUUUCAAGUCGGGUGUGAAAUCCCUCGGCUCAACCGAGGAAUUGCGCCUGAUACUGUUGGGCUUGAGGGGGAUAGGGGUAAGCGGAACUGAUGGUGGAGCGGUGAAAUGCGUUGAUAUCAUCAGGAACACCGGUGGCGAAGGCGGCUCACUGGAUCUCUUCUGACGCUGAGGAACGAAAGCUAGGGGAGCGAACGGGAUUAGAUACCCCCGUAGUC
rnacentral:rRNA from 1 species